rnacentral:lncRNA from 1 species
GAAUUAGAUGACAAGCUCUACUUCUGUUAUUAGUUGUUUGAUUUGGGGAAACUCAUUCAGCCUCUCUGGGCCUAGUUUUCCCAUGAAUUUUAAAUUAACGGGCUUUUCUUCAGGCUUCCUACUAGCUUUGUUACUGAAUCAAACUUGGGUCCGCUUGCCUGCUGCAAGUAAGGCCAAUUUACUGACAUCAGAAUGCGAUAAAGGAAAGUACAGCGUUUACUACAGGGCUCAGAAAGGAGUAUGGGUGGCUAUGCUCAAAAGACCUGAACUCCUCUGUGGUUUUCAAGGGAGUGUUUUUAAAAGCAACACUUGAGGAGUUCCUACUGUGGCACAGAAGAAAUUAAUCUAAGUAGUAUUUAUGAGGAUGUGGGUUUGAUCUCUGGCCUUGCUCAUGGGUUAAGGAUCCGGCGUUGCCGUGAGCUGUGCUAUAGGUAGCAGAUGCCGCUUAGAUCCCACGUUCCUGUGGCUCUGGCGUUGGCCAACACCUUCAGCUUCGAUUCAGCCCCUAGCCUGGGAACCUCCAUAUGCCUUAGGUGUGGCCCUAAAAGAAAGGAAAAAUACCAAAAAAAAAAAAAAAACCCACAAAUUUUUUAAACACAUUUUGUGCUUGAAAUUUGUCUCUUUGAACAUCUAUUACCCCAAAAAUUUUAGAAAUUGCACUUUUGAAAUUUCUUGAGGUGAAAAUUUUGGAGUUACCUAAAACAAAGUCAUUGACCUUAUUUUAUAGUCUUGCAAAACUGAGCCAUAAAAGUAUCUGAAUUACGCCUUCAAAUGUUAGAAGAAAAUCUUAUUAAAGAUGUUUGAGAGGAUGUAAAAUACUUGAGAGUAGAGUCCAUAUUUACUUUUUCUUUGUAUUUUUAUAGCAAGAUUUCCCAAAGUUUCUAAGAAUCCCCUGCAGUGAGUACUAAAUUGUGAUGCACUUAUUUCUAGCCUCACUAAAUAAAAAUUUCCAAGAGAUUUUUCUCACAAAAAUGAUUCUAAUGGUUAGGAACAUUUAAGUAAAUUAUUCUACAUUUCACAUAAUGUUCAGUAUAGAGAAGUUGGUCAACUGUUGACCCAACAAACGAGAGAAGAAUGAAUGACCAAAAUCUAUCAUGUAAGUGGUAAAUUACCACUUAUGCAACUACAAAUAGAAUGCGUUAAUUUCAGAAUCUAAAAUUUAGAUUUUUUUGUGCCACCAUCUCAUAUCUGUAUCCAGGUUAAAGGUCAUAAAAGAGCCCUUUCCCGCCAUCUGCCUUUAGGUUCCACAAGGCCAAGAUCUGUUAGACACUAUUAUAUCCUCAGGGCCUAAAAUAGCAAUUAAUGCCUCUAUAUAUGACAUGUAAGUAUUGGAUGAUUUUAAUUUAAUUGCAGUGCAGUGCUUAUAUGACAAUCGGGCUAGUUUAAUGGUAAAUAAUGAUUUUGCCAGUCACCUGAAAUGCCUCUACCCAAGGUUUUCUUCAACUCAGUCUAACUGGGUUUAAUUUCCAGGUCCCCAGAUUUAACUGUACAUUUCUUUUGAAGAAAAACUCUGAUCCUAGAUCAUUGAAAUUUUUUGACCAAAUACAUCUCUAAGCAAUUAUCAAUCAUCUGGACAUGCCUCUUGGGAGUUUAUGUGCUGCAGUGUCCUUUAGGGGGUUAUGAAAAUGUGUCUGUCAUAGUAUCCUAAGCUUUCUGUUCCCAUGGAGAGAUUUUAUUUCAUUCUCCUUGUUUAAAACUGUAUUCUGGUCAUCUGCUUUCCAAGCAAAUUUUUCCCCUUUCUUCCUUCUUCUUGCCUUCUCCUUUUUUUUCUUCCCUCUUUUUUCUUUCUUUCCUAGUCUCUCCUUCUCUCCCUCUACUCUUUCUCCUCAUCCCCCUGCAAGUUUUUCCCCUUCUCUUUUUUUCUUCUUCCAGUUUCCCCCUUCUUCCUCUUCCAAAGCCAUGGGGUACAUAAUAGAUAAAAGGAAACCAUUCUGUUUCGAAUUAUCCAUUUGCCUAACCUGUGGGCAUGAAGAUCAAAGGCACUAGAAAGAUUUGCUGGACUCUGUAGGGAGGCUGUGCCCACUUACUGGGUCUUUUCCUACAAAUUUUCUUUGAAAGUCCCUUGCAGAAAGGGAAAUUUUUGGAGUUGGAGGGAUAAGAGUAAGCAGUGGAAAUUUAACCACAAUGUGCUGGAGCACUGGGUACAAAUUGAGUCAGGGACACUAUUGACAAAGGGAGAGAGGCAGAACAAAGAAGGGGAAAACUGCCAAUGCCUGAGAGAAAGGGAAAUUUAAGAGCAUAGUAGGGUGCUUGAGGAGAGAGUAGAAAGUAUAGUGUUCUUAAGGAACUUUGAUUUAAAAAAAAAAAAAAAACAAAACCAAGGUUUAGAAAUAUGUACACAAUAGAAACUUUAAAAAGAGUCUAAAAAGAGGUAUUUAGUGGCCAAAUAUGUAAUCAAAGCUAGAUGUUUACUUCCCACUAAGUGUGUACAGAAUCAUUCUAGCAGAAAAAGUAAAGCAUGUCUUUUCAUGAGAAGGUAGGAAAAAAAAUUUUUUUCAGGAAAAGACUAUGGAUAAAUUCAUUGUAUUCCUAAGGAAGAGAGUGGUCUCAGCCCAUUUUAACUCUGUUCACCUACUAAAUUCACAACCUUGAGAAAACAGCCAAAUCUCAUUUUCUAUAAUAUAAAGGCUAUCUUACCUUAAUUUUGGAACUGUUGGAAGAAAUAAGUGAGCUGGAGUUCCCGUCGUGGCUCAGUGGUUAACAAAUCCGACUGGGAACCAUGGGGUUGCAGGUUUGAUCCCUCGCCUUGCUCAGUGGGUUAAGGAUCUGGCAUUGCCAUGAGCUGUGGUGUAGGCCAGCGGCUACAGCUCCGAUUAGAUCCCUAGCCUGGGAACCUCCAUAUGCCGUGGGAGUGGCCCAAAAAAUGGCAAAAAGACAAAAAAAAAAAAAAGUGAGUUGAUAUUUGCCUAUAGGUGAUAAUAUUUUUAUAUAUUAGUGAUGUAUUUUCCUUCUCAGAGAUAACUUAGCACAACAUCAAAACCAAAAAGGAUAAUUCUUGUUUUUUGGGCACCAGAGAUUUGAAGGACUAUGUGCUGAAUCUGAUUUUUCUGCACAGAGGCUAAAGUAUACCUUGGGGUAGGAGAAAAAUGGGCAAGUUAGAAAGUGAAGUACUAAUGUGGAUAAGAAAGUAAUUCCUGGAGUUUCCGUGGUGGCUAAGUGGUAGUGAACCCAACUAGUAUCCAUGAGGAUGUGGGUUCGAUCCCUGGCCUUGCUCAGAGGGUUGAGGACCUGGUGUUGCUGUGAGCUAUGGUAUGGCUCAGAUCCCACAUGGCUGUGGCUGUGGCGUAGGUGAGCAGCUGUAGCUGCAGUAUGACCCCUAGCCUGGGAACUUCCAUAUGCUGUGGAUGCAGCUCUAAGAAGAAUGAAUGAAUGAAUAAAUAAAUAAAUAAAUAGGUAAGUAAAUAAAUAAAUUCUGAUAAUUAUUUAGGAAGGAGCUCAUGCCUCCUUCCUCAAGACAGUCCCCCCAGAUAUAUUUAGUGAUCUCAGUUUAGAGGGGACAUCAACAUGGUGUGAGAAAGACAGGUGGUUGCAGAAGUGGUUGCAUGCUAUUUCUAGACAGAGGACUCUGAGGCUAGCAAACAUCCAGCCCUGCCUGGGGAGCAGCUGACUCUUUUUCAGUGUAAUCAGCAUUGAAGCUGGGUAUUGGUGGAACUGGAUCUGGAGAGCUGUUUCAGUCCAUGGGGAGGAUGAAAGAGCGGGCCUCAGAGAAUCAGGUAGGGUGGAGAAGGUUGGUUAGAAGGGGUGAAUAUGAUUACAGUAGAAUGAGACAAUGAACAGCUCAGGGGAGGUCAGCCUAGGUGGGAAAUGGCUGGGGACAAAGUGUACUCUCUCUUAAAAGCUGGAUAGUACAUGAAUAUCCCCAAUUCCCGUCCCCACCCCUGUAGCAGUGUAACUUUGAAAGAUAAGGGAGAGGAAGAAAAUUCUGAACGGCCUUAGUUCAUUCAGAAAUUGGGAUUCCCUCUUUGCUGCCAGUGGAGUGAGUUUUGAAAUAGAAAUUCAGUCAUGGAAAAAAUGAAGUUCCAUCUUUGAUUCACUAAAUGUGUAGUUAGUGAAACUUGAACUUUUUAUACUCAUCAAGGAUUAAGCCCCAUGACUGGCACAGAAUUAGAUCUGUAAAAAGACAGCUGGGGUUGCUAUCAAGAAGGAGAACUCAUAGAGAUAGAAUUUAAGUUUAAGAAAUAAAACUGAGGGAGUUCCUGUUGUGGUGCAGUGGAAAUGAAUCCGACUAGAAUCUGUGAGGGUGUGGGUUCGAUCCAUGGCCUUACUCAGUGGGUCGGGGGUUCUGGCAUUGCCAUGUCGCAAACAUGGCUUGGAUCCCACGUUGCCGUGGCUGUGGCAUAGCCCAGCAGCGAUUGAUCCCUAGCCUGGGAACUUCCAUAUGCUGCAGGUAUGGACCUAAAAAGCAAAAAAACAAAAACACAAACAAACAAAAAAACUGAAAGCUUAUGCUUGGUACAGAGUAGGCUCUCAGUCAAUAUUGAACUUUAUAAGUGAAGAUGGGAGCAAGGUGGCUGAAUUUUAACCUUAUUGUGAUAGGAACAAGACUUCAUCUUUUGUUCCUCACAUAGCAGAGUGUUGGACUCUUUUUCUUUGUAUACAGUUGUUAAAACUAUAUAAAACAUAUAUAGUUAUAUGAUAUUUCUCCAGAAAACCUCAGAGAUUUUUUAGCCACACCAGACAAUAGAUUUGUGCAUGAAAAUUGCCUUUCCAGUCCUUUCAGAACGUGCAUAGUAUAAGUGCUAGUUACCAGGCAGUUAAAGAGGGUUUCCAGUUACCCUAGUAUGUCCUGUUACACUGGAUUAUUUUGCAGUAUUGAUAUUUAAAACUGACUUAUUUCUUUGGAGUUCUAAAAUUUUUGAAUAGGUAAUAAUUCCUGGUUCAGAAAUCACAAACCAUUAAAAAAAAAAAGAUGGUAAAAUGACUUUCUACCUCACAUCCUUCAUCCAUUAAAUUUCAAGCAAAUCUUCCUCCACCCCAAAACAGAGGUUAGUUUGUGGAUAUCUGAAUUUUUUUUUUUUUUUUUUUUUGCUUUUUUGGGCCAAACCUGCAGCAUGUGUAAGUUCCCAGGCUAGGGGCUGCAUAGGAGCUGUAGCUGCCAGCCCACCACAGCCACAGCAAUGCGGGAUCUGAACCAUGUUCAUUACUGCUAAACCAUGUCAGUAACUCCCAGUUUCUGCAUAUUCUUUAUUCAUAUAUAACAAAUACAAACAUAAUGACUUGUGUGUCAUUUUUACACAAAAGAUAGCUUUCAAUA